rnacentral:rRNA from 1 species
GACGGGUGAGUAACGCGUGGGGACCUGCCUCAUACAGGGGGAUAACAACCGGAAACGGUGUAAAACCGCAUAAUAUGCGAACAUCGCAUGAUGAUUGCAUUAAAUAUUUAUAGGUAUGAGAUGGGCCCGCGUCUGAUUAGCUAGUUGGUGAGAUAAAAGCUCACCAAGGCUUCGAUCAGUAGCCGGCUUGAGAGAGUGACCGGCCACAUUGGGACUGAGACACGGCCCAAACUCCUACGGGAGGCAGCAGUGGGGAAUAUUGCACUAUGGGGGAAACCCUGAUGCAGCGACGCCGCGUGAGUGAAGAAGUAUUUCGGUAUGUAAAGCUCUAUCAGCAGGGAAGAAAAUGACGGUACCUGACUAAGAAGCCCCGGCUAACUACGUGCCAGCAGCCGCGGUAAUACGUAGGGGGCAAGCGUUAUCCGGAUUUACUGGGUGUAAAGGGAGCGUAGGUGGCAAAUCAAGUCAGAUGUGAAAGCCCGGGGCUCAACCCCGGGAUUGCAUUUGAAACUGGUAUGCUAGAGUGCAGGAGAGGUAAGUGGAAUUCCUAGUGUAGCGGUGAAAUGCGUAGAUAUUAGGAGGAACACCAGUGGCGAAGGCGGCUUACUGGACUGUGACUGACACUGAGGCUCGAAAGCGUGGGGAGCAAACAGGAUUAGAUACCCUGGUAGUCCACGCCGUAACGAUGAAUACUAGGUGUCGGGGGUCAAAAGACCUUCGGUGCCGUCGCAAACGCAUUAAGUAUUCCACCUGGGGAGUACGUUCGCAAGAAUGAAACUCAAAGGAUUGACGGGGACCCGCACAA